UGCAAGUCGAGCGGAGAUGAGGUGCUUGCACCUUAUCUUAGCGGCGGACGGGUGAGUAAUGCUUAGGAAUCUGCCUAUUAGUGGGGGACAACAUUCCGAAAGGGAUGCUAAUACCGCAUACGUCCUACGGGAGAAAGCAGGGGAUCUUCGGACCUUGCGCUAAUAGAUGAGCCUAAGUCGGAUUAGCUAGUUGGUGGGGUAAAGGCCUACCAAGGCGACGAUCUGUAGCGGGUCUGAGAGGAUGAUCCGCCACACUGGGACUGAGACACGGCCCAGACUCCUACGGGAGGCAGCAGUGGGGAAUAUUGGACAAUGGGGGGAACCCUGAUCCAGCCAUGCCGCGUGUGUGAAGAAGGCCUUAUGGUUGUAAAGCACUUUAAGCGAGGAGGAGGCUACUGAGACUAAUACUCUUGGAUAGUGGACGUUACUCGCAGAAUAAGCACCGGCUAACUCUGUGCCAGCAGCCGCGGUAAUACAGAGGGUGCGAGCGUUAAUCGGAUUUACUGGGCGUAAAGCGUGCGUAGGCGGCUUUUUAAGUCGGAUGUGAAAUCCCCGAGCUUAACUUGGGAAUUGCAUUCGAUACUGGGAAGCUAGAGUAUGGGAGAGGAUGGUAGAAUUCCAGGUGUAGCGGUGAAAUGCGUAGAGAUCUGGAGGAAUACCGAUGGCGAAGGCAGCCAUCUGGCCUAAUACUGACGCUGAGGUACGAAAGCAUGGGGAACAAACAGGAUUAGAUACCCUGGUAGUCCAUGCCGUAAACGAUGUCUACUAGCCGUUGGGGCCUUUGAGCUUUAGUGGCGCAGCUAACGCGAUAAGUAGACCGCCUGGGGAGUACGGUCGCAAGACUAAAACUCAAAUGAAUUGACGGGGGCCCGCACAAGCGGUGGAGCAUGUGGUUUAACUCGAUGCAACGC
rnacentral:rRNA from 1 species